rnacentral:misc_RNA from 1 species
AUACUACUCCAUACAAUUUCUUCAAUGAGGAAACUGUAAAGGGAUUUGGGAGAUUGCAGUGAAUACUGCUCUCCUUGAAUAAAUUAGCAGUGAUUAUUCUUAAAGAUCCUUUGGUUGAUGUGAUAGUUAUCUCCUCUCAACUUUUCUUUGAAUAAUUCAUUUCUGCUUAAAGUCGUCUUUACUACAAAGACAGUUAUAAC